AACAAGGCGUACCUGCGGACCUGCGGAGGGAUCAUUAUAGAAUUUAAUUUUUUUUACUCCUUAAGGGGGUUUAAAAAAAAAUUCCAAACCCUUUUGUUUUAAAAACCUUUGUUGCUUUGGUAAGGAGAGGGAUGAAAGGGGGGGAGGGUUUUUCCUUUUCUCCUCUUUCCCCCUUACCAAAGGAAAUUUUAAAAACUCUGAUUUUUUUAACUGUCUGAAAAUUUUUUAAAAUGAAAUAAA
rnacentral:misc_RNA from 1 species